UGCCAUAUAGCUCAGGGGUAGAGCAUUAUUCCGUCUUAUAGAGGCGUAAGUAAUGAUGUCAGAGGUUCGAUUCCUCUUAUGGCAA
rnacentral:tRNA from 1 species